UACGUAGGGUGCAGGCGUUAAUCGGAAUUACUGGGCGUAAAGCGUGCGCAGGCGGCUUUGCAAGACAGAUGUGAAAUCCCCGGGCUCAACCUGGGAACUGCAUUUGUGACUGCAUGGCUAGAGUGCGGCAGAGGGGGAUGGAAUUCCGCGUGUAGCAGUGAAAUGCGUAGAUAUGUGGAGGAACACCGAUGGCGAAGGCAAUCCCCUGGGCCUGCACUGACGCUCAUGCACGAAAGCGUGGGGAGCAAACAGG
rnacentral:rRNA from 1 species